GAAGAGUUGAAAAACUCCCUAAACCCACUGUGAACCUACCUAUGUCGUUGCUUCGGCGGGCGGCCCCAGGGCGGGGCCUUCUGAAGGUGUCCGCUGACAGCCCCUAUAAACUCUGUUUUUUUGGACACUCUGAGUUCUAAGAUCAAAUGAGUCA
rnacentral:misc_RNA from 1 species